AGAGUUCGAUCCUGGCUCAGGAUGAACGCUGGCGCAUCUUAACACUGCCAGUCGAACGGGAAAGUGGUUGUUUCCAGUGGCGAACGGGUGAGUAACGCGUAAGAACCUGCUCCUUGGGAGGGAACAACAACUGGAAACGGUUGCUAAUACCCCGUAGGCUGAGGAUCAAAGGAGAAUCCGCCCAAGGAGGGGCCUCGCGUCCUGAUUAGCUAUUGGUGAGGCAAUUAGCUUACCAAGCGAAUGACAUUAGCUGUCCAGAUGAUGAUCAGCCCCCCUGGGACUGAGGACACGGCCCAGACUCCUACUGGGGCACAGCAGUGUCGGGAAAUUUUCCGCAUGGGCUAAGCCUGACCGGAUUCAAUGGCCGCGUGGAGGUGGAAGGCCUACGGUCGUAACUUCUUUUCUCGAGAAAACAAUGACGGUAUCUGGGAAUAAGCAUCGGCUAACUCUGUGCCAGCACCGCGGUAAGACAGAGGAUGCAAGCGUUAUCCGGAAUGAUUGGGCGUAAAGCGUCCUGUAGUGGCUUUUCAAGUCCCCGUCAAUCCCAGUGCUCAACCCCGGACAGGCGGUGGAAACUACGCAAGCUGAGUACCGGUAGGGGCAAAGGGAUUUUCCGGUGGAGCGGUGAAAUGCAUUGAGAUCGGAAAGAAACCCCCAACUACACCAACGGCGAAAGCACUUGCUGGGCCGACACUGACACUGAGAGACGAAAGCAGGGAGCAAAUUGGAUUAGAACCCCCGUAGUCCUAGCCUUAAACGAUGGAUACGAGGUGCUGUGCGACUCGCCCCGUGCAUGCUGUAGCUAACGCGUUAAGUAUCCCGCCUCUGGGGAGUACGUUCGCAAGAAUGAAACGUCAAAGGAAUUGGGAAAACGGGGGCCCGCAACAAGCGGUGGAGCAUGUGGUUUAUUCGAUGUCAAAGUCGAAGAACCUUACCAGGCUUGACAUGGCCGCGAAUCCUCUUGACAGAGAGGGGGCCCUCGGAACGCGGACACGGUGGUGCCAUGGCUGUCGUUCAAGCUCGUGCCGUAAGGUGUUGGGUUAGUCUCGCAACUAGCGCAACCCUCGUGUUUAGUUUGCCACUAUGAGUUUGGACGCCUGACAUAACCGCCGGUGUUAAGCCGGGAAGGAGAGAGAGGCCAAGUCCUCAUGCCCCUUAUUCCCUGUGCGACACCGUGCUACAUGGGCGGGACAAAGGUCGCGAGCUCUCGAGGUGAGCUGAACUCCAAAAACCCGUCCUCAAGUUCUGAUUGCCGGCUGCCAACUCGCCUGCAUGAAGCAUGAAUCGCUAUAUCGCCGGGCAGGCCAUACUGCGGUGAAUCCGUUUCCCGGGCCUUGUACACACCCGCCGUCACACUAUCGAGCUGGCCAGGUUUGAAGUGUGUCAUUACCCUUAACCGUAAGGAGGGGGAUGCCAAGGCUGGCUUGCGACUGGAGUGAAGUCGUACAAGGUAGCCGUACUGGAAUGUGCGGCUG
rnacentral:rRNA from 1 species